rnacentral:piRNA from 1 species
UGCGAGUUGAAACCGGUGAACCUAUCAGG